rnacentral:rRNA from 1 species
UUUAUUGGAGAGUUUGAUCCUGGCUCAGGAUGAACGCUGGCGGCGUGCCUAAUACAUGCAAGUCGAGCGAAUGGAUUAAGAGCUUGCUCUUAUGAAGUUAGCGGCGGACGGGUGAGUAACACGUGGGUAACCUGCCCAUAAGACUGGGAUAACUCCGGGAAACCGGGGCUAAUACCGGAUAACAUUUUGAACCGCAUGGUUCGAAAUUGAAAGGCGGCUUCGGCUGUCACUUAUGGA